rnacentral:rRNA from 1 species
GAUUGAAGGGGGCUGCUCCUAGUACGAGAGGACCGGAGUGGACGAACCUCUGGUGUUCGGGUUGUGUCGCCAGACGCAUUGCCCGGUAGCUAAGUUCGGAAUCGAUAACCGCUGAAAGCAUCUAAGCGGGAAGCGAGCCCUGAGAUGAGUCUUCCCUGAUACUUUAAGUAUCCUAAAGGGUUGUUCGAGACUAGAACGUUGAUAGGCAGGGUGUGUAAGCGUUGUGAGGCGUUGAGCUAACCUGUACUAAUUGCCCGUGAGGCUUAACCAU